rnacentral:hammerhead_ribozyme from 1 species
AUUUAGCUGAUGAGUCGCAAAUAGGACAAAACUGGCGUCCUGGAU